UUAGGAUUAGGGUGGAGCUAGGGUUAGGGUUAGGGUUAGAGCUAGGGUUAGGGUUGGGGCUAGGGUUAGGGUUAGGGUUAGGGUUAAGGUUGGAGAUAGGGUUAGGGUUAGGGUUAGGGUUGGAGCUAGGAUUUUCUGGUGCAAUGAACCAACUCCCGAGUCUCUAAGACGUUCCUAAAAAUUAGAUUUUUUCCCAUAGGAAUGCAUGGGUUAGGGUUAGGGUUAGGGUUGGAGCUAGGGUUAGGGUUAGGGUUAGGGUUGGAGUUAGGGCUAGUGUUUAGGGUUAGGGUUGGGCUUGGAGCUAGGAUUUUCUGAGUGCAAUGAACCAACUCCCGAGUCUCUAGGACGUUCCUAAAAAAAUUUGAUUUUUUCCCAUAGGAAUGCAUGGGUUAGGGUUAGGGUUAGGGUUGGAGCUAGGGUUAGGGUUAGGGUUAAGGUUGGAGUUUGGGUUAGGGUUAGGGUUAGGGUUAGGGUGGAGCUAGGGUUAGGGUUAGGGUUAGAGCUAGGGUUAGGGUUGGGGCUAGGGUUAGGGUUAAGGUUGGCGCUAGGGUUAGGGUUACGGUUAGGGUUGGAGCUAGGGUUAGGGUUAGGGUUAGGGUUGGAGCUAGAGUUGGGGUUAGGGUUAGGGUUGGAGCUAGGGUUAAGGUUAGGGUUAAGGUUGGAGCUAGGGUUAGGGUUAGGAUUAGGGUGGAGCUAGGGUUAGGGUGAGGGUUAAGGUUGGAGCUAGGGUUAGGGUUAGGAUUAGGGUGGAGCUAGGGUUAGGGUUAGGGUUAGAGCUAGGGUUAGGGUUGGGGCUAGGGUUAGGGUUAAGGUUGGAGAUAGGGUUAGGGUUAGGGUUAGGGUUGGAGCUAGGGUUAGGGUUAGGGUUGGAGCUAGGGUUAGGGUUAGGGUUAGGGUUGGAUUUAGGGUUAGUGUUGGAGCUAGGGUUAGGGUUGGGCUUGGAGCUAGGAUUUUUCUGAGUGCAAUGAACCAACUCCCGAGUCUCUAGGACGUUCCUAAAAAAAUUUGAUUUUUUCCCAUAGGAAUGCAUGGGUUAGGGUUAGGGUUAGGGUUGGAGCUAGGGUUAGGGUUAGGGUUAGGGUUGGAUUUAGGGUUAGUGUUGGAGCUAGGGUUAGGGUUGGGCUUGGAGCUAGGAUUUUUCUGAGUGCAAUGAACCAACUCCCGAGUCUCUAGGACGUUCCUAAAAAAAAUUUAUUUUUUCCCAUAGGAAUGCAUGGGUUAGGGUCAGGGUUAGGGUUGGAGCUAGGGUUAGGGUUAGGGUUAGGGUUGGAGUUAGGGUUAGUGUUGGAGCUAGGGUUAGGGUUGGGCUUGGAGCUAGGAUUUUUCUGAGUGCAAUGAACCAACUCCCGAGUCUCUAGGACGUUCCUAAAAAAAUUUGAUUUUUUCCCAUAGGAAUGCAUGGGUUAGGGUUAGGGUUAGGGUUGGAGCUAGGGUUAGGGUUAGGGUUAGGGUUGGAGUUAGGGUUAGUGUUGGAGCUAGGGUUAGGGUUGGGCUUGGAGCUAGGAUUUUUCUGAGUGCAAUGAACCAACUCCCGAGUCUCUAGGACGUUCCUAAAAAAAUUUGAUUUUUUCCCAUAGGAAUGCAUGGGUUAGGGUUAGGGUUAGGGUUGGAGCUAGGGUUAGGGUUAGGGUUAGGGUUAGGGUUGGAGUUAGGGUUAGGGCAAGGGUUAAGGUUGGAGCUAGGGUUAGGGUUAUGGUUAGGAUUAGGGUGGAGCUAGGGUUAGGGUUAGGGUUAGAGCUAGGGUUAGGGUUGGGGCUAGGGUUAGGGUUAAGGUUGGAGCUAGGGUUAGGCUUAGGGUUAGGGUUGGAGCUAGGGUUAGGGUUAGGGUUAGGGUUGGAGCUAGGGUUAGGGUUAGGGUUAGGGUUGGAGUUAGGGUUAGGGUUAGGGUUGGAGCUAGGGUUAAGGUUAGGGUUAAGGUUGGAGCUAGGGUUAGGGUUAGGAUUAGGGUGGAGCUAGGGUUAGGGUUGGGCUUGGAGCUAGGGUUAGGGUUAGGAUUAGGGUGGAGCUAGGGUUAGGGUUAGGGUUAGAGCUAGGGUUAGGGUUGGGGCUAGAGUUAGGGUUAGGGUUAGGGUUAAGGUUGGAGAUAGGGUUAGGGUUAGGGUUAGGGUUGGAGCUAGGGUUAGGGUUAGGGUUAGGGUUGGAGCUAGGGUUAGGGUUAGGGUUAGGGUUGGAGCUAGGGUUAGUGUUGGAGCUAGGGUUAGGGUUGGGCUUGGAGCUAGGAUUUUUCUGAGUGCAAUGAACAAACUCCCGAGUCUCUAGGACGUUCCUAAAAAAAUUUGAUUUUUUCCCAUAGGAAUGCAUGGGUUAGGGUUAGGUGUGGGGUUGGAGCUAGGGUUAGGGUUAGGGUUAGGGUUGGAGUUAGGGUUAGGGUUAGGGUUAAGGUUGGAGCUAGGGUUAGGGUUAGGGUUAGGAUUAGGGUGGAGCUAGGGUUAGGGUUAGGGUUAGGGUUAGAGCUAGGGUUAGUGUUGGAGCUAGGGUUAGGGUUGGGCUUGGAGCUAGGAUUUUUCUGAGUGCAAUGAACCAACUCCCGAGUCUCUAGGACGUUCCUAAAAAAAUUUGAUUUUUUCCCAUAGGAAUGCAUGGGUUAGGGUUAGGGUUAGGGUUGGAGCUAGGGUUAGGGUAAGGGUUAGGGUUGGAGUUAGGGUUAGUGUUGGAGCUAGGGUUAGGGUUGGGCUUGGAGCUAGGAUUUUUCUGAGUGCAAUGAACCAACUCCCGAGUCUCUAGGACGUUCCUAAAAAUAUUUGUUUUUUUUCCCAUAGGAAUGCAUGGGUUAGGGUUAGGGUUAGGGUUGGAGCUAGGGUUAGGGUUAGGGUUAGGGUUGGAGUUAGGGUUAGUGUUGGAGCUAGGGUUAGGGUUGGGCUUGGAGCUAGGAUUUUUCUGAGUGCAAUGAACCAACUCCCGAGUCUCUAGGACGUUCCUAAAAAAAUUGAUUUUUUCCCAUAGGAAUGCAUGGGUUAGGGUUAGGGUUAGGGUUGGAGCUAGGGUUAGGGUUAGGGUUAGGGUUGGAGUUAGGGUUAGUGUUGGAGCUAGGGUAAGGGUUGGGCUUGGAGCUAGGAUUUUUCUGAGUGCAAUGAACCAACUCCCGAGUCUCUAGGACGUUCCUAAAAAAAAAUGAUUUUUUCCCAUAGGAAUGCAUGGGUUAGGGUUAGGGUUAGGGUUGGAGCUAGGGUUAGGGUUAGGGUUAGGGUUGGAGUUAGGGUUAGUGUUGGAGCUAGGGUUAGGGUUGGGCUUGGAGCUAGGAUUUUUCUGAGUGCAAUGAACCAACUCCCGAGUCUCUAGGACGUUCCUAAAAAAAUUUGAUUUUUUCCCAUAGGAAUGCAUGGGUUAGGGUUAGGGUUAGGGUUGGAGCUAGGGUUAGGGUUAGGGUUAGGGUUGGAGUUAGGGUUAGUGUUGGAGCUAGGGUUAGGGUUGGGCUUGGAGCUAGGAUUUUUCUGAGUGCAAUGAACCAACUCCCGAGUCUCUAGGACGUUCCUAAAAAAAAUUGAUUUUUUCCCAUAGGAAUGCAUGGGUUAGGGUUAGGGUUAGGGUUGGAGCUAGGGUUAGGGUUGGGGUUAGGGUUAGGGUUGGAGUUAGGGUUAGUGUUGGAGCUAGGGUUAGGGUUGGGCUUGGAGCUAGGAUUUUUCUGAGUGCAAUGAACCAACUCCCGAGUCUCUAGGACGUUCUUUAAAAAAUUUGAUUUUUUUCCAUAGGAAUGCAUGGGAAAAAAAAUUUGAAAAAUUUUUAAGUGCCAACCCAAUUUUUCACCUUCCAGAAUUGUGUUAGGAGCACAUUUCAGGGCACGGGGAGUCUAUAGAACCUAAUUCUGGGGGAAGUUUUUUGAAAAGUUUACUUGGGGUUUGGGUUAGGGUUAGGGUUGGAGCUAGGGUUAGGGUUAGGGUUAAGGUUGGAGCAAGGGUUAGGGUUAGGGUUGGAGCUAGGGUUAGGGUUAGGGUUAGAGCUAGGGUUUGGGCUAGGGUUAGGGUUAGGGUUAGGGUUAAGGUUGGAGCUAGGGUUAGGGUUAGGUGUGGGGUUGGAGCUAGGGUUAGGGUUAGGGUUAGGGUUGGAGUUAGGGUCAGUGUUGGAGCUAGGGUUAGGGUUGGGCUUGGAGCUAGGAUUUUUCUGAGUGCAAUGAACCAGCUCCCGAGUCUCUAGGACGUUCCUAAAAAAAUUUGAUUUUUUCCCAUAGGAAUACAUGGGUUAGGGUUAGGGUUAGGGUUGGAGCUAGGGUUAGGGUUAGGGUUAGGGUUGGAGCUAGGGUUAGUGUUGGAGCUAGGGUUAGGGUUGGGCUUGGAGCUAGGAUUUUUCUGAGUGCAAUGAACCAACUCCCGAGUCUCUAGGACGUUCCUAAAAAAAUUUGAUUUUUUCCCAUAGGAAUGCAUGGGUUAGGGUUAGGGUUAGGGUUGGAGCUAGGGUUAGGGUUAGGGUUAGGGUUGGAGUUAGGGUUAGUGUUGGAGCUAGGGUAAGGGUUGGGCUUGGAGCUAGGAUUUUUCUGAGUGCAAUGAACCAACUCCCGAGUCUCUAGGACGUUCCUAAAAAAAUUUGAUUUUUUCCCAUAGGAAUGCAUGGGUUAGGGUUAGGGUUAGGGUUGGAGCUAGGGUUAGGGUUAGGGUUAGGGUUGGAGUUAGGGUUAGUGUUGGAGCUAGGGUUAGGGUUGGGCUUGGAGCUAGGAUUUUUCUGAGUGCAAUGAACCAACUCCCGAGUCUCUAGGAUGUUGCUAAAAAAAUUUGAUUUUUUUCCAUAGGAAUGCAUGGGUUAGGGUUAGGGUUAGGGUUGGAGCUAGGGUUAGGGUUAGGGUUAGGGUUGGAGUUAGGGUUAGUGUUGGAGCUAGGGUUAGGGUUGGGCUUGGAGCUAGGAUUUUUCUGAGUGCAAUGAACCAGCUCCCAAGUCUCUAGGACGUUCCUAAAAAAAAUGAUUUUUUCCAAUAGGAAUGCAUGGGUUAGGGUUAGGGUUAGGGUUGGAGCUAGGGUUAGGGUUAGGGUUAGGGUUAGGGUUAGGGUUGGAGUUAGGGUUAGUGUUGGAGCUAGGGUUAGGGUUGGGCUUGGAGCUAGGAUUUUUCUGAGUGCAAUGAACCAACUCCCGAGUCUCUAGGACGUUCCUAAAAAAAUUUGAUUUUUUUCCAUAGGAAUGCAUGGGUUAGGGUUAGGGUUAGGGUUGGAGCUAGGGUUAGGGUUAGGGUUGGAGUUAGGGUUAGUGUUGGAGCUAGGGUUAGGGUUGGGCUUGGAGCUAGGAUUUUUCUGAGUGCAAUGAACCAACUCCCGAGUCUCUAGGACGUUCCUAAAAAAAUUUGAUUUUUUUCCAUAGGAAUGCAUGGGUUAGGGUUAGGGUUAGGGUUGGAGCUAGGGUUAGGGUUAGGGUUAGGGUUGGAGUUAGGGUUAGUGUUGGAGCUAGGGUUAGGUGUGGGCUUGGAGCUAGGAUUUUUCUGAGUGCAAUGAACCAAUUCCCGAGUCUCUAGGACGUUCCUAAAAAAAAUGAUUUUUUCCCAUAGGAAUGCAUGGGUUAGGGUUAGGGUUAGGGUUGGAGCUAGGGUUAGGGUUAGGGUUAGGGUUAGGGUUGGAGUUAGGGUUAGUGUUGGAGCUAGGGUUAGGGUUGGGCUUGGAGCUAGGAUUUUUCUGAGUGCAAUGAACCAACUCCCGAGUCUCUAGGACGUUCCUAAAAAAAUUUGAUUUUUUUUCCCAUAGGAAUGCAUGGGUUAGGGUUAGGGUUAGGGUUGGAGCUAGGGUUAGGGUUAGGGUUAGGGUUGGAGUUAGGGUUAGUGUUGGAGCUAGGGUUAGGGUUGGGCUUGGAGCUAGGAUUUUUCUGAGUGCAAUGAACCAACUCCCGAGUCUCUAGGACGUUCCUAAAAAUUUUGAUUUUUUUCCCAUAGGAAUGCAUGGGUUAGGGUUAGGGUUAGGGUUGGAGCUAGGGUUAGGGUUGGAGUUAGGGUUAGUGUUGGAGCUAGGGUUAGGGUUGGGCUUGGAGCUAGGAUUUUUCUGAGUGCAAUGAACCAACUCCCGAGUCUCUAGGACGUUCCUAAAAAAUUUGAUUUUUUCCCAUAGGAAUGCAUGGGUUAGGGUUAGGGUUAGGGUUGGAGCUAGGGUUAGGGUUAGGGUUAGGGUUGGAGUUAGGGUUAGUGUUGGAGCUAGGGUUAGGGUUGGGCUUGGAGCUAGGAUUUUUCUGAGUGCAAUGAACCAACUCCCGAGUCUCUAGGACGUUCCUAAAAAAAUUGAUUUUUUCCCAUAGGAAUGCAUGGGUUAGGGUUAGGGUUAGGGUUGGAGCUAGGGAUAGGGUUAGGGUUGGAGUUAGGGUUAGUGUUGGAGCUAGGGUAAGGGUUGGGCUUGGAGCUAGGAUUUUUCUGAGUGCAAUGAACCAACUCCCGAGUCUCUAGGACGUUCUUUAAAAAAUUUGAUUUUUUUCCAUAGGAAUGCAUGGGAAAAAAAAUUUGAAAAAUUUUUAAGUGCCAACCCAAUUUUUCACCUUCCAGAAUUGUGUUAGGAGCACAUUUCAGGGCACGGGGAGUCUAUAGAACCUAAUUCUGGGGGAAGUUUUUUGAAAAGUUUACUUGGGGUUUGGGUUAGGGUUAGGGUUGGAGCUAGGGUUAGGGUUAGGGUUAAGGUUGGAGCAAGGGUUAGGGUUAGGGUUGGAGCUAGGGUUAGGGUUAGGGUUAGAGCUAGGGUUAGGGUUAGGGUUUGGGCUAGGGUUAGGGUUAGGGUUAGGGUUAAGGUUGGAGCUAGGGUUAGGGUUAGGUGUGGGGUUGGAGCUAGGGUUAGGGUUAGGGUUAGGGUUGGAGUUAGGGUCAGUGUUGGAGCUAGGGUUAGGGUUGGGCUUGGAGCUAGGAUUUUUCUGAGUGCAAUGAACCAACUCCCGAGUCUCUAGGACGUUCCUAAAAAAAUUUGAUUUUUUCCCAUAGGAAUACAUGGGUUAGGGUUAGGGUUAGGGUUGGAGCUAGGGUUAGGGUUAGGGUUAGGGUUGGAGCUAGGGUUAGUGUUGGAGCUAGGGUUAGGGUUGGGCUUGGAGCUAGGAUUUUUCUGAGUGCAAUGAACCAACUCCCGAGUCUCUAGGACGUUCCUAAAAAAAUUUGAUUUUUUCCCAUAGGAAUGCAUGGGUUAGGGUUAGGGUUAGGGUUGGAGCUAGGGUUAGGGUUAGGGUUAGGGUUGGAGUUAGGGUUAGUGUUGGAGCUAGGGUUAGGGUUGGGCUUGGAGCUAGGAUUUUUCUGAGUGCAAUGAACCAACUCCCGAGUCUCUAGGACGUUCCUAAAAAAAUUGAUUUUUUCCCAUAGGAAUGCAUGGGUUAGGGUUAGGGUUAGGGUUGGAGCUAGGGUUAGGGUUUGGGUUAGGGUUGGAGUUAGGGUUAGUGUUGGAGCUAGGGUUAGGGUUGGGCUUGGAGCUAGGAUUUUUCUGAGUGCAAUGAACCAACUCCCGAGUCUCUAGGAUGUUGCUAAAAAAAUUUGAUUUUUUUCCAUAGGAAUGCAUGGGUUAGGGUUAGGGUUAGGGUUGGAGCUAGGGUUAGGGUUAGGGUUAGGGUUGGAGUUAGGGUUAGUGUUGGAGCUAGGGUUAGGGUUGGGCUUGGAGCUAGGAUUUUUCUGAGUGCAAUGAACCAACUCCCGAGUCUCUAGGACGUUCCUAAAAAAAUUUGAUUUUUUCCAAUAGGAAUGCAUGGGUUAGGGUUAGGGUUAGGGUUGGAGCUAGGGUUAGGGUUAGGGUUAGGGUUAGGGUUAGGGUUGGAGUUAGGGUUAGUGUUGGAGCUAGGGUUAGGGUUGGGCUUGGAGCUAGGAUUUUUCUGAGUGCAAUGAACCAACUCCCGAGUCUCUAGGACGUUCCUAAAAAAAUUUGAUUUUUUUCCAUAGGAAUGCAUGGGUUAGGGUUAGGGUUAGGGUUGGAGCUAGGGUUAGGGUUAGGGUUGGAGUUAGGGUUAGUGUUGGAGCUAGGGUUAGGGUUGGGCUUGGAGCUAGGAUUUUUCUGAGUGCAAUGAACCAACUCCCGAGUCUCUAGGACGUUCCUAAAAAAAUUUGAUUUUUUUCCAUAGGAAUGCAUGGGUUAGGGUUAGGGUUAGGGUUGGAGCUAGGGUUAGGGUUAGGGUUAGGGUUGGAGUUAGGGUUAGUGUUGGAGCUAGGGUUAGGUGUGGGCUUGGAGCUAGGAUUUUUCUGAGUGCAAUGAACCAAUUCCCGAGUCUCUAGGACGUUCCUAAAAAAAAUGAUUUUUUCCCAUAGGAAUGCAUGGGUUAGGGUUAGGGUUAGGGUUGGAGCUAGGGUUAGGGUUAGGGUUAGGGUUAGGGUUGGAGUUAGGGUUAGUGUUGGAGCUAGGGUUAGGGUUGGGCUUGGAGCUAGGAUUUUUCUGAGUGCAAUGAACCAACUCCCGAGUCUCUAGGACGUUCCUAAAAAAAUUUGAUUUUUUCCCAUAGGAAUGCAUGGGUUAGGGUUAGGGUUAGGGUUGGAGCUAGGGUUAGGGUUAGGGUUAGGGUUGGAGUUAGGGUUAGUGUUGGAGCUAGGGUUAGGGUUGGGCUUGGAGCUAGGAUUUUUCUGAGUGCAAUGAACCAACUCCCGAGUCUCUAGGACGUUCCUAAAAAAAUUUGAUUUUUUUCCAUAGGAAUGCAUGGGUUAGGGUUAGGGUUAGGGUUGGAGCUAGGGUUAGGGUUGGAGUUAGGGUUAGUGUUGGAGCUAGGGUUAGGGUUGGGCUUGGAGCUAGGAUUUUUCUGAGUGCAAUGAACCAACUCCCGAGUCUCUAGGACGUUCCUAAAAAAAAUUGAUUUUUUCCCAUAGGAAUGCAUGGGUUAGGGUUAGGGUUAGGGUUGGAGCUAGGGUUAGGGUUAGGGUUAGGGUUGGAGUUAGGGUUAGUGUUGGAGCUAGGGUUAGGGUUGGGCUUGGAGCUAGGAUUUUUCUGAGUGCAAUGAACCAACUCCCGAGUCUCUAGGACGUUCCUAAAAAAAAUUUGAUUUUUUCCCAUAGGAAUGCAUGGGUUAGGGUUAGGGUUAGGGUUGGAGCUAGGGAUAGGGUUAGGGUUGGAGUUAGGGUUAGUGUUGGAGCUAGGGUAAGGGUUGGGCUUGGAGCUAGGAUUUUUCUGAGUGCAAUGAACCAACUCCCGAGUCUCUAGGACGUUCUUUAAAAAAUUUGAUUUUUUUCCAUAGGAAUGCAUGGGAAAAAAAAUUUGAAAAAUUUUUAAGUGCCAACCCAAUUUUUCACCUUCCAGAAUUGUGUUAGGAGCACAUUUCAGGGCACGGGGAGUCUAUAGAACCUAAUUCUGGGGGAAGUUUUUUGAAAAGUUUACUUGGGGUUUGGGUUAGGGUUAGGGUUGGAGCUAGGGUUAGGGUUAGGGUUAAGGUUGGAGCAAGGGUUAGGGUUAGGGUUGGAGCUAGGGUUAGGGUUAGGGUUAGAGCUAGGGUUAGGGUUAGGGUUUGGGCUAGGGUUAGGGUUAGGGUUAGGGUUAAGGUUGGAGCUAGGGUUAGGGUUAGGUGUGGGGUUGGAGCUAGGGUUAGGGUUAGGGUUAGGGUUGGAGUUAGGGUCAGUGUUGGAGCUAGGGUUAGGGUUGGGCUUGGAGCUAGGAUUUUUCUGAGUGCAAUGAACCAGCUCCCGAGUCUCUAGGACGUUCCUAAAAAAAUUUGAUUUUUUCCCAUAGGAAUACAUGGGUUAGGGUUAGGGUUAGGGUUGGAGCUAGGGUUAGGGUUAGGGUUAGGGUUGGAGCUAGGGUUAGUGUUGGAGCUAGGGUUAGGGUUGGGCUUGGAGCUAGGAUUUUUCUGAGUGCAAUGAACCAACUCCCGAGUCUCUAGGACGUUCCUAAAAAAAUUUGAUUUUUUCCCAUAGGAAUGCAUGGGUUAGGGUUAGGGUUAGGGUUGGAGCUAGGGUUAGGGUUAGGGUUAGGGUUGGAGUUAGGGUUAGUGUUGGAGCUAGGGUAAGGGUUGGGCUUGGAGCUAGGAUUUUUCUGAGUGCAAUGAACCAACUCCCGAGUCUCUAGGACGUUCCUAAAAAAAUUGAUUUUUUCCCAUAGGAAUGCAUGGGUUAGGGUUAGGGUUAGGGUUGGAGCUAGGGUUAGGGUUUGGGUUAGGGUUGGAGUUAGGGUUAGUGUUGGAGCUAGGGUUAGGGUUGGGCUUGGAGCUAGGAUUUUUCUGAGUGCAAUGAACCAACUCCCGAGUCUCUAGGAUGUUGCUAAAAAAAUUUGAUUUUUUUCCAUAGGAAUGCAUGGGUUAGGGUUAGGGUUAGGGUUGGAGCUAGGGUUAGGGUUAGGGUUAGGGUUGGAGUUAGGGUUAGUGUUGGAGCUAGGGUUAGGGUUGGGCUUGGAGCUAGGAUUUUUCUGAGUGCAAUGAACCAGCUCCCGAGUCUCUAGGACGUUCCUAAAAAAAAAAUGAUUUUUUCCAAUAGGAAUGCAUGGGUUAGGGUUAGGGUUAGGGUUGGAGCAAGGGUUAGGGUUAGGGUUAGGGUUAGGGUUAGGGUUGGAGUUAGGGUUAGUGUUGGAGCUAGGGUUAGGGUUGGGCUUGGAGCUAGGAUUUUUCUGAGUGCAAUGAACCAACUCCCGAGUCUCUAGGACGUUCCUAAAAAAAUUUGAUUUUUUCCAUAGGAAUGCAUGGGUUAGGGUUAGGGUUAGGGUUGGAGCUAGGGUUAGGGUUAGGGUUAGGGUUGGAGUUAGGGUUAGUGUUGGAGCUAGGGUUAGGGUUGGGCUUGGAGCUAGGAUUUUUCUGAGUGCAAUGAACCAACUCCCGAGUCUCUAGGACGUUCCUAAAAAAAUUUGAUUUUUUUCCAUAGGAAUGCAUGGGUUAGGGUUAGGGUUAGGGUUGGAGCUAGGGUUAGGGUUAGGGUUAGGGUUGGAGUUAGGGUUAGUGUUGGAGCUAGGGUUAGGUGUGGGCUUGGAGCUAGGAUUUUUCUGAGUGCAAUGAACCAAUUCCCGAGUCUCUAGGACGUUCCUAAAAAAAAUGAUUUUUUCCCAUAGGAAUGCAUGGGUUAGGGUUAGGGUUAGGGUUGGAGCUAGGGUUAGGGUUAGGGUUAGGGUUAGGGUUGGAGUUAGGGUUAGUGUUGGAGCUAGGGUUAGGGUUGGGCUUGGAGCUAGGAUUUUUCUGAGUGCAAUGAACCAACUCCCGAGUCUCUAGGACGUUCCUAAAAAAAUUUGAUUUUUUUCCAUAGGAAUGCAUGGGUUAGGGUUAGGGUUAGGGUUGGAGCUAGGGUUAGGGUUAGGGUUAGGGUUGGAGUUAGGGUUAGUGUUGGAGCUAGGGUUAGGGUUGGGCUUGGAGCUAGGAUUUUUCUGAGUGCAAUGAACCAACUCCCGAGUCUCUAGGACGUUCCUAAAAAAAUUUGAUUUUUUUCCAUAGGAAUGCAUGGGUUAGGGUUAGGGUUAGGGUUGGAGCUAGGGUUAGGGUUAGGGUUAGGGUUGGAGUUAGGGUUAGUGUUGGAGCUA
rnacentral:lncRNA from 1 species